CCACAAUGCUGCAAAAGAGUAAAAAAAGAAUUUGAUAUCCAAACUUACAAUCUAAUUACACUAGUUUGAGUCAAUUCAAUCCCUAGCCAUCAAGCUAUCAAUCUUAGAUAUAAGUCAUCACCUCUGUAAAAAUAUUGCCUCAGAUUUUAUCUAGGUCUUUAGUUCAUCAUCCUUAACCUCUUACACUUCGUCUAAGGAGGUGAAACACACAUCUUGUAAUCUUCACUUAAAUUCUUUUCUCGUUUCUAAAUAGCAAGUUUCUAUAUUUCGUUGAGUAGUUUCAGUGAUUCGCGUCUCUAAACAAGUAUGGUGACUCUUACAUUCGUUUCUAAACUUUACGGUCCCACAAAGUUGGCGUUAUAGGAGACAAAUCAGCUUACCAACGGUGUUCCACAUUUUUCUGGACGCGGUUCGAGUUAAAAUAUUCUUGUUGUUCAACGCAUCUCCGAUGGCUGCGUACACAAGCGCCAGCACGAAACUUGAUGCGUAAGGAAGUGCUGACAGAUAACCACUCUAAAAAAAUUGCAAUGUAUUAUUUAUUAAUUUGUUUAUAAUUUCUUUAUUGUUGUUAUUUAAAUAUUUAUUGCCCAGAGAUGAAUUUAUGCCGCCCCAGUCUCUAACCUCCGAAAAGAGACGCCCUAACAAGCUAUGGAGAACUUGACCGGAUACAAAAAAAAUAAAUAAAUAAAAUAAAAUAAGCGUAUAAUUUAAUUAUCAAA